ensembl:lncRNA
GUUCUUCUGCUUCCUCGGAGGGAGGGCCCACCUAGCAGAAGCUGGAGAGCCCUGGGAACCCCGCAGGGAGGCAAGGCCACUUCAGAGCAGCCUGAUGGAGGCAUCCUUGGAAAGUCUGUCACAGCUGUCUAGCAGUGACCUGCUGGGUGAUGAACAGGAACCUCCACUCUCGUCCAUCCAUAAUGAUGACAAGCAUUCCAGAGAGAAGGCCCGGGGCGGCGGAGACGAUCUGGAGUUGAAGAGAGAGCAAGGCGACAGUGAGAGCACGCCAGGCCCCAGGAUUACUGAAGAGCUAACUCUCCUUCUUGGGAGAGUUAUUGUCUUGCCCUAACUGUUGCUGAGACCAUACUGGAAGAAGAUGCUGGUGUGGGAAUCCCCCGGGAAAAAAAGAAUUUUCAUUGUCAAAGGAAAUACAGCAAAGAGAGCUUCUUCCUACCAAGCCAACAAUGAGUUUGGACUCCUAGGAAACCGUCAUUCAAACCAGGAUUGAGAAGCAACCGUUCCUCCAUCUUGAUGGUGAGCUCUCCCUAUGGCCUGAGGGAAAGACCCCUAGGGUUGCAGGUUUGGUGCCACUUGGUGACUGAAUUUCCUUCCUUAGUCUCUUAGUUCAGCCUGAAGCUGAGUCCUCAGAAUAUGGAAAUAUUAAUAUUUUCCCCUUUUUGGGGGUUGAUGUGAGGCUAAAGCGAGUAACAUAUAUUAAUUAGACUCUGUUAACUGUGAAUCACUCUACAAAUCCCGGAGUUUAUUACAGUCACUUCUUUGUUUUGCCUCCCCAUUUUCUUGCCCUGAAGGUCAUAGACCAUUCAUUCAUUAGCUUAGCAACCGAUAUUGAUAACCUAAAAUAUAAAGAGUACUGUGCUAGAUAUGGGGAAAGGAGACACAAAGACAGAAAUCACAGCUCCCAUCUUCAAGGGGGCACACAGAUGGUGAGGAAGAUGGAUUCAGUUAACCAGAGUACUAGUCAGACUCUGCCUACUGUGAUUAGUUAAACAGCGAGCUAUAGAGUCAUGAGGAAAGGACAGAUUAGUCAGGAGGCAGAAUCAGGAGAGUCAGAGGUAUCCCAGAAGAGGUGAUACUCAUACGAAGCAUGAAUUCAUAUUCAUUCAUUCAUCUUUCUUUUAAUUAUUUAUAAAAAACAUUUAUUGAGCAUAUACUAUGUGUCAGGAGUUAGACUCCAGAUGGUCCCCAACUUACGAUGUUUCAAAUAAUGAUUUUUGACUUUCCAAUGGUGAGGAGGCAAUAUGCACUCAAUAGAAAUGAUACUUCGGGAGUUCCCGUUGUGGCGCAGUGGUUAACGAAUCCGACUGGGAACCAUGAGGUUGCGGGUUCGGUCCCUGCCCUUGCUCAGUGGGUUAACGAUCCGGCGUUGCCGUGAGCUGUGGUGUAGGUUGCAGAUGAGGCUCGGAUCCCGCGUUGCUGUGGCUCUGGCGUAGGCCGGGGGCUACAGCUCCGAUUCGACCCCUAGCCUGGGAACCUCCAUAUGUCAUGGGAGUGGCCCAAAGAAAUAGCAAAAAGACAAAAAAAAAAAAAAAAAAGAUACUUUGCAUUUUGAAGGUUGAUCGUCUCUGGGCCAGCGAUAUGCACCGUGAUCCUCUCUUGUGGCGGCCAGUGGCAGCAAGACACAGCUCCUGGUCAGCCCUGCAGACAUGAAGGUAAACCACUGAUUCACUGACAACCAUUCUGGUUUUUUGUUUUGUUUGUCUUUGUUUUUCUUUUGCUUUUUAGGGCCCUGCCCGCAGCAUAUGGAAGUUCCCAGACCAGGGAUGGAAUCGGAGCUGUGCUGCUGGCCUACACCACAGCCACAGCAGCAAGGGGAUCCGAGCCGCGUCUUCGACCUACACCACAGCUCACAGCAACACCAGAUCCUUAACCUACUGAUUGAGGCCAGGAAUCGAACCCUCAUACUAGUGGGGUUCGUUACUGCUGAGCCACGAUGGGAACUUCACAACCAUUCUAUUUUUUAUUUUGUACAUCAUUGAAUAAAUCCCAUGAGAUAUUCAACACUAUUUUACGAGAGGCUUUGUGUUAAAUGGUUUUGCCCAACUGUGAGUGAUGUGUUCAGAGCAUGUUUAGGGGAGUCCAGGCUAAGUGAUGAUGUUCAGUAGGUUAAGUGUAUUAAAUGCAUUUUUUGGUUUUUUUGAAAGAUUUUUAUUUUUUCUAUUAUAGUUGAUUUACAAUGUUGUCAAUUUCUGCUGUACAGCAAAGUGACCCAGUCACAUACAUAUAUAUGAACAUUCUUUUUUUAUUAAGAUUUUUAUUAAAUGCAUUUUCUGGUUUUUUUGAAAGAUUUUUAUUUUUUCUAUUAUAGUUGAUUUACAAUGUUCUGUCAAUUUCUGUUGUACAGCAAAGUGACCCAGUCACAUACAUAUAUAUGAACAUUCUUUUUUUAUUAAGAUUUUUAUUAAAU